UCCGUAGGCGGUUUGUCGCAUCUCCUGUUAAAUCCCGAGGCUCAACCUCGGAACCGCGGGAGAGAUGGAUAAACUAGAGGCCGGGAAAGGUAAGCGGAAUUGCUGGCGUAGGGGUUAAAUCCGUUAAUAUCAGCAGGAACACCAAAUGCGUAGGCAGCUUACUAGAACGUGCCUGACGCUCAGGGACGAAAGCGUGGGGAGCGAACAGGAUUAGAUACCCUGGUAGUCC
rnacentral:rRNA from 1 species